AUAUAUAUAUAUAUAUAUAUAUAUAUAAAAUACUAUAUAUGCUAUAUAAAUAUAUCGCACAAUAUACAACUGCCCAGAAAAGUAGCUUAAAGACACACACCCCAUUGGUUACCGGGAGAGCCUGUAGAUAAGACACACAAACAUACUGUAGACAUCCGUCAGGCAUUAGAAGCUUUGUGUAUCACUAUUCGGUGCAACGUUGAGAAUUUCAUACCACGAAAUCACAGACAAAGUGGCACUCGGCUCGAAACCUCUGCAGAAUUUUGAAUGCAGAUUGUUAAGAAUGGCUCAGAAAUAUUUAUAUGAUGCUGGACUCUUAUACCACACACAUUGGUCACAAAUAUCACUGAACACCAAUGUGAAAUCGAUAUGAAUUACAAAAAAAAAAAAAAUGUGAUCUUCUGUAACUUUGUGCUAAUGUGAACUAUUUUUCUGACCUUGUUAGCAGUUUUGAAAUUCAAUUUGUCAGUAUAACUUUGUUAAUCUAUGUUUAAGAUCUUUUGGUCCGAUUUGUGUCCAAAAGGAUUAGUCAGAGUUAGUAAUAUCUGCAUGAGGGAUGGGUUUUUCGUCUAGUAAUCCCACAUUGUUGCAGGUGAAUAUUUAAUGUUUCACACAAUGUAUGGUAUAAUAUUGUAUAUUGUGUUCAAUAAAAUCUAAAACUACUUUUCUAUGAAGUGAUUAAAAAUGACGCAUGAAUAUAUUUUCCUUGUUUUGGUGUCUUUUGUUUUCUAGGACUGGUUUUAAUCCCUCUUUGUGAUUAUAUGACUGAAGGAUGUUUUACAUAAAUUUACACUAAAGUACCGUUCUCCAAUCAGAUUAGUCAGAAGGUAUUGAUUAAUAUUCUAUAACAACAUUGCUCUGAGAGUUGCUGGCUGUACGGCAAAUCACAGGCUUAUAUUAAUGCCCUUAUUAUCAUUUCUAGAGUAACAGCUAAUUAACAGGGACUUGUAUGGGACACGCGACAUAAUCUAUGGAUUUUUUAAAAGAUGUCAUUAUUUAACAAAGAACAAUGUUUACUCGUUGAUAUGGUGAAGCUUUCUGUGAGGAGAUUUAAUUGAGCCUUUAUGGAAGGAGUCUCUAGUGUCAGAGCUUUGCAACAGUUGGAGAUAAAGCUAUAA
ensembl:lncRNA